GAUGGUUUCGGAAAAGUUGAUGGCGAGCACUGGAUCGGGCUCGAAAGGUUGCACCAGUUGAUGAAGAAUAAAAAUAUGACCUUGAUGGUGGAGUUCGUGGACAUCGAUGGCAAUUAUAAUUAUGCCAGUUAUAACAGUUUUGCUGUUGGUAAUGAGGAUGAGAAGUAUGAGCUGAAACGACUUGGAGAGUUUGCAGGAUCUACGGGCGAUUCGAUGAGAUCUGGAGAGAAACAAAGGUUCACAACGCGGGAUAGUGAUAAUGAUAAGUUUGGCCGCAAUUGUGCACGAGACAAAGGUGGUAUGCUCAUUGUGGCGGCACUAACCCAAACGGACCAUUCCGCAAGCAACACAGCUGGAAGAACAUUUACUGGAUGAAACACAGAAGUGGAGUUGAGUUGAAAUUCUUCAGAAUGAUGAUUAAACAAACAUAAGUUCAUGAAAAGUUUACACAGUUACCAUAUAAUAUGUAUCAUAUUGAAUAAAGUAAGGUUCUAAUUGCAU